CCUACGGGGUGCAGCAGUGAGGAAUAUUGGUCAAUGGACGAGAGUCUGAACCAGCCAAGUAGCGUGAAGGAUGACUGCCCUAUGGGUUGUAAACUUCUUUUAUAUGGGAAUAAAAUGUUCCACGUGUGGGAUUUUGUAUGUACCAUAUGAAUAAGGAUCGGCUAACUCCGUGCCAGCAGCCGCGGUAAUACGGAGGAUCCGAGCGUUAUCCGGAUUUAUUGGGUUUAAAGGGAGCGUAGGUGGAUUGUUAAGUCAGUUGUGAAAGUUUGCGGCUCAACCGUAAAAUUGCAGUUGAAACUGGCAGUCUUGAGUACAGUAGAGGUGGGCGGAAUUCGUGGUGUAGCGGUGAAAUGCUUAGAUAUCACGAAGAACUCCGAUUGCGAAGGCAGUUCACUGGACUGCAACUGACACUGAGGCUCGAAAGUGUGGGUAUCAAACAGGAUGAGAUACCCUAGUAGUC
rnacentral:rRNA from 1 species